GCGGGGAUAGCCCAGCCUGGUAAGGCGACAGAUUGCUAAUCUGUUGGUCUUCUGACCUCGGGAGUUCAAAUCUCCCUCCCCGCG
rnacentral:tRNA from 1 species